UACAUCUUCUCCGCGGAAGCUC
rnacentral:miRNA from 1 species